CUUAUGCUUGGGACAGUCUGCCAGGAGCUUAUGCCUAGGACAGCCUUCACGGGCUUAUACGUGAAUCAAUCGGUCAGGAGCUCAUACUUGGGACAGUCCGCCAGGAGCUUAUGCCUGGGACAGCCCCCACGGGCUUUCAUACGUGGGACAGCCGGUCAGGAGCUCAUGCCUGGGACAAUCUUGAUAGGCUGAUGAGUAAAAAUUUGAUCGGAUGGAGACUGAAGCAUAGUCUUGGUUAGUCCAAAGCCAAAAAGAAAAAAGUUAAAGAUCAUGUGAUUAUAAAAAGAGAAAUAGAGGAUAAGACAUGAAACUAAUGCUGAAUAAAAGUGUUUUAUCUGUUAACAUAUGAUGAUGCAUUUCGUUUGAUAAGAUAGAUAAUUUAUGAAUGUUUGUUGUAUUCUGAAUAUUGAACAUG
rnacentral:lncRNA from 1 species